rnacentral:rRNA from 1 species
GAUGAACGCUGGCGGCGUGCCUAAUACAUGCAAGUCGAGCGAACAGACGAGAAGCUUGCUUCUCUGAUGUUAGCGGCGGACGGGUGAGUAACACGUGGAUAACCUACCUAUAAGACUGGGAUAACUUCGGGAAACCGGAGCUAAUACCGGAUAAUAUAUUGAACCGCAUGGUUCAAUAGUGAAAGACGGUUUUGCUGUCACUUAUAGAUGGAUCCGCGCCGCAUUAGCUAGUUGGUAAGGUAACGGCUUACCAAGGCAACGAUGCGUAGCCGACCUGAGAGGGUGAUCGGCCACACUGGAACUGAGACACGGUCCAGACUCCUACGGGAGGCAGCAGUAGGGAAUCUUCCGCAAUGGGCGAAAGCCUGACGGAGCAACGCCGCGUGAGUGAUGAAGGUCUUCGGAUCGUAAAACUCUGUUAUUAGGGAAGAACAUAUGUGUAAGUAACUAUGCACGUCUUGACGGUACCUAAUCAGAAAGCCACGGCUAACUACGUG